rnacentral:other from 1 species
GGCCCCCUGCGUUGUGCGUUUUUGGGGUCGGUGGACCGAGGAACCAAUGUCGCUACCCCGGGGUCCAACUGUCGUCUUGUGGUGUGCAUGCCUCCGCGUUGAGGAAGCCUGAAGCAAGCGCAGGACCCCACCCUUUGCGCUCAGGUUCCGUGAGCGCCACCGGCUUCAGACGGCAACGCGGAGGGCUU